rnacentral:rRNA from 1 species
UACGUAGGGUGCGAGCGUUGUCCGGAAUUAUUGGGCGUAAAGAGCUCGUACGCGGUUUGUCGCGUCUGCUGUGAAAACGCGAGGCUCAACCUCGCGCCUGCAGUGGGUACGGGCAGACUAGAGUGCGGUAGGGGAGAUUGGAAUUCCUGGUGUAGCGGUGGAAUGCGCAGAUAUCAGGAGGAACACAGAUGGCGAAGGCAGAUCUCUGGGCCGUAACUGACGCUGAGGAGCGAAAGCGUGGGGAGCGAACAGG